GCCUACGUGGUGUAAUGGGUAGCUCACUCGGCUCGUAUUCGAGAUGUCCGAGGUUCGAGUCCCGGCGAGGGCA
rnacentral:tRNA from 1 species